UUUGCAAAAAUUAAGUUUCAGCCCCUAAAAUGACAUGCCUUGCUGCCCAUUCUCACAGCCCCAGGAAGCAAUAUAGUUCCGAAUGCUAUUUGCUGGGAAGCAGCUUCUGCUUGUGGGCUUCUUGCAGACAUUGGAUGUCCACAGUGAGAACAGGAGGCUGGACCAGAUGGGACAUGGGCCUGAUCCAGCAGAGCUUUUCUUAUGUCCUUAAUCUUUGCCUGCUGAUGAUCCCAAGUUCAGUGCCUAGUUAUCCUCUCUUAAAAGGACCCAAGACUUGCAACCCUAACCACAUUGGCCUGGGAGUAAGCCCCCUGGAAUUGAUAGGAUUUACUUCUAAGCAGACAUGGUUAGGGACGGGGGUGGCGCUGUGGGUUAAACCACAGAGCCUAGGACUUGCCGAUCAGAAGGUCGGCGGUUCGAAUCCCCAUGACCGGGUGAGCUCCCGUUGCUCGGUCCCUGCUCCUGCCAACCUAGCAGUUCAAAAGCAUGUCAAAUUGCAAGUAGAUAAAUAGGUACCACUCCGGCGGGAAGGUAAACGGCGUUUCCGUGUGCUGCUCUGGUUCACCAGAAGCGGCUUAGUCAUGCUGGCCACAUGACCCGGAAGCUGUACACUAGCUCCCUCGGCCAAUAAAGCGAGAUGAGCGCCGCAACCCCAGAGUCGGCCACGACUGGACCUAAUGGUCAGGGGUCCCUUUACCUUUACCUUUAGACAUGGUUAGGAACGUGUUGUUCAGUAGUAAGUCAGGGCAAAGACCUCCUGACUGAGAUAAGACAACUCAUCUAACUUUAACAAUUCCUUCAGUACUGUUACUUUCCUUUUCCAUUUGUGGUUCCAUAAAGAAUGGGGUUUUAGCAGGUGAUAUUUCUCAAACACUUGCAGCCGUGAGUAAUAUGUCAAGGUGCAAAUGCUAAAAUUCUUGCCUCGAUGCAGUUAUUAAAGAUAUAGAGCCCUAUGUCUAAAAGGAUAUUUGUCCAUUCUGCAUUGAAGGUCCCAGCCGUGCUGAGAGAUAGGUCGGCUUUUAUAAUGGGCCUACUAAAGAUUCCAGUGACUUCAGCUGCCAAUCAGCUGAUUACAAAUCAGCCUUGUGAGGAAUGACAAUAAAGCCGUUGCAGGAAGGAAUAUAUUUAUGAGCAAGAUCGGAAUGGCGAAAGCAGUAGGGAGUGAGGCAUGCGUGUUGAGGUUGCUGGUUUGAAGUGUGUGUAUUUUGGAAGCAAGAACUGCUGUUUCAACUGAGCUGAUCUUGUCAUAAUAAUAUUAAUAAAAACAUAGUGGUGAAGGCUUUUUCUUUUGUUUUUAAAACUGGCAUUCCAAAUGGAAAUUUCCAUGCAGAAAUAUGUUUGUUGUGAAAGGGAUUAUUUACAUACCCUAAAAGAGGAAGAGAAAGAGUUAGGUACUAGUUUUAUGAUGUGAAAAUCCCUAUCAAUAUUAGUAUCAUAAUUUAAAUACCUCUGAUGUGCCUCCACCCCCCGGCAAGGAAAAAUAAUUCACAUUUCCAUUUUUUUAUUGAAUUGACUUCUUUUAUGUUAAUACAAGUGGUUGUUUUAGUCAGCUAGCCUUCAUCUGCCCCAGCUGCAACAAAACAUGUCUCUCCCUUAUCAGUCUUUUCAGCCACAGCAGGUGCUGUGAUCUUCCAACAGUUUGACUUCACCCUCAAAGGUGUACUCCUCCAUUGUCUCCCAAGACAGACGGAUGCCAACCAGCUGGAAGAGAAAACAAGGACUGGAGUUGGGGUUGCUUUGCAUCUCCUCUCCACCAAAUGUCUGAGCCUCCUUCUGUGCCUUUAACAGCAGCUUUAUCUGUAAAAAAUAAGCAGGCAAAGCCUUUCAUGGCCAGGAGAUGAGAAUGACCAACCAACUUCUGAAGAUCUGAACCAUUUCGAAAGAAUGGCCAAGACUGGCCUGGAUAGCAAAAUGCUACCUGAGCACAGCUGAAGACUCUUAUUUAGAAAAAAUAUUUCUGAUUCAUAAAGCUUUUCUUUUUGGAUGAACAAUAAGAGCACCUUUAAGAGCUGCAUGACAGGCAGAUUUUUAAUAGGUUCAGUUGUUCUGUGCAGAGAAAGCUGCAUAUGUUGAUUUCCCCCCUGUUAUGGGCUGAAUAAGAGCCAAACAUACAACAUUCCUGAUUUCUGUCCACCCUUGUAGCCACCCUUUGAGUCAUUUCUGAUUUGCCAACAUCCUUCUUAGAGUCUGGUGAAUACAGUUCACAGGAUAUGAUCUUGUACCUGGGCUGACCAAAUUAGUCCCUUGUCUCCCAGGUUCUGUCAAAAUCUCAGUAAUUCACUGGACACACCUGCUAGAUCACAGCCUCACCCUGUGCACAUCCAGUAUAAUAAGCAAUUAUGUUUAGGAGGAUGCACUCCAAUUUUGGGUCAUCCCCCCCCCCCCAGAAUUGCUUUUACUUCUGAUUGCUUUAUACUUGAAUCUAUUAGCUAUUCUGCCUGUCCAGUACCUCCAAUUCUCUUUAUUGGCAAUUAUCUAUGAAGGAGGUUGCUUGUUUUCUGUCUAAUACAGCUCCCCUGUCUUCCAGGCAUGAUGUAGGGUUUAUUUCAACAGUGUCUGGAAAGAUGUUCUAUGAUGUGUUGAGGACACUGUGAGAUUGAAAGCGCUUUGAUCUCUUUUUUCAAGUUGAUUAUGAAGAAUGGGAUGGAAACGCUGCCUUCUGCCCUUUGCCCAACGUCCCUGCAGUGAGGGAUUCUCUUGCUUGUUAAGACUCUUAAAAGGAAUCGUCUCAUCUCCCUUCAUGUUGACAGUUUUCUCCCUAUUCAGGGAGAGGGGAAGCAGUGCUGCCUGGGAGUUGCAGGAACCCACUUUGUGAGACUUUCUGAUACCAGGAGGUUGCUGAAAGCUGCAACUACUUUGGCACUCUAAUUUCAUUUUGGAGUUAUCAGUUUGGAUAGCUCCUUUGUGACCCACUUUUCAAGGAGAAGGAUCUUUGCUCAGUGGUAGAGCAUCUGUCUUGCAAAUAGGAGGUCCCAGAUUCAGUCCCCAGCAUCUACAAAUAGGAUGGGGAGAAUCUCAUCUGAAAUCUUAGGCAGACACUGUCACACAGUGUGGGCAAUACAGAGCUAGUUGGAUAGUCCUACCUGGGCAGUUAUCUUUCCACAAGGGUAGACAUUGAUGCUGAAAUCCAGCAUCGCCUGAGCUCUGCAAGUGCAGCUUUCUCCCGAUUGAAGUGCAGAGUGUUUGAGGACCGGGACAUUCACAGGUACACCAAAAUGCUUCUUUACAAAACUAUUGUACUACCAACCUUACUGUAUGCUUGGGAAAUGUGGGCCACUUAUAAACGCCUUCCCCAACUCCUCGUAAGAUUCCAUCAAUGGUGUCUCCGGAAUUUUUUACACAUCACUUGGGAAGACAGGAGAACCAAUGCCAGUGUACUGGAAGAAGCAAAUAUCACCAGUGUCAAAGCAAUGAUUCUUCAACAUCAACUUCGUUGGACUGGUCAUGUUGUGCGGAUGCCUGAUUAUCAUCUUCCAAAGCUACUACUCUAUUCUGAACUUAAAAAUGGAAAGCGUAAUGCUGGUGGUCAACAAAAGAGGUUCAAAGACUCUCUCAAGGCAAAUCUAAAGAAAUGUAGUAUAAACACUGACAACUGGGAAACACUGGCCUGUGAGUGUUCCAAUUGGAGAACAGCUUUUACCAAAGGUGUCAUGGGUUUUGAAGACACUUGAACUCAGAGCGAAAAGGAGAAAUGCGCUAAGAGGAAGGCACACUUGGCAAACCAUGAUCAACUCCCACCCGGAAACCUAUGUCCCCACUGUGGAAGGAUGUGUGGAUCCAGAAUUGGCCUCCACAGUCACUUACAGACUCAUUGAUAAAACCGUGUUUAUGGAAGACAAUCUUACUCAGCUACUAGUGAUUUCCAAAGAAGAAGAAGAUGGAUAGUCUGACUGCAUUUAAGGUAGCUCCCUAUGUUCCUAAAAUAUCCCUUCAAAAGUUUGAACUCUCCUCUAAAACAUAUUCUACCUAGCAACCCAACUUUCAUUUUCACGACUUCACAGCUACAUUCUCGCCAUGUCAUUGAUGCCAGUGGCUCUGAAUCCUCUUUAGCGCUAUACGCUAGGCUAUUUAGGUAGAUCCUCAACCUUGCAUGGGGCAGGCAAUUCACCCUAUUCCUUGGCUGCCCAUCACACAUUCAGCUGCCUCAAUUCCUAAUGGUCAAAUCGCCCACGACCAGGAUCCUUCCACCUGCCUCUUGAUUCCACACUGACAAAGGAACAGCAACUUCAACUUUAGCUGAGGGCAUCAUGCUGGUUUAGGGGUUCCUGACAGAGGAGAAUGCCCACGGCUUCAGGGGCAAUGGCUGGUGGGAGGUUGGUGCUGCAAUUGCCUCCCUCUGCCUGAUUCUGGACUCAGGCAUGAUGCCCUCCCUGUCUCUGGUAACAUGUGAGAAAUGGGAGAGACAGCUCAGGAUAAAGCAGCACCUUAUGUCAAGCCAGACCAUAGGUCAAUAUUCCAGGCAGAGCAUUUUCUAAUUCAACUGGUAAGAGCUUCCCAAGAUAUUAAAAAUACAUGUUUCUGAACUCUGCUUCCUGAUAUUUAUUUUUAUGUAUUUAUUUGCUUUUCUUACAUUCAUACCACACCUUUCUUCCAUCAUGCACAUGUGUAGCUUCCAAGUGGUCUCCCAUCCAGGGACUGACCAGUCGUGGUCCUGCUUAGCUUUGGCAAAGUGGUGGCCUCAUGU